UACGUAGGGGGCAAGCGUUGUCCGGAAUUAUUGGGCGUAAAGAGCGCGUAGGCGGUCCGGUAAGUCGGUUGUGAAAGUCGGGGGCUCAACCCUCGGAUGCCGAUCGAUACUGUCGGGCUAGAGUCCGGAAGAGGCGAGUGGAAUUCCUGGUGUAGCGGUGAAAUGCGCAGAUAUCAGGAAGAACACCCGUGGCGAAGGCGGGUCUCUGGGCCGAUACUGACGCUGGAGGAGCGAAAAGCGUGGGGAGCGAACAGG
rnacentral:rRNA from 1 species